AUUGAACGCUGGCGGCAGGCUUAACACAUGCAAGUCGAGCGGGGUGAUGGUGCUUGCACUAUCACUUAGCGGCGGACGGGUGAGUAAUGCUUAGGAAUCUGCCUAUUAGUGGGGGACAACACCUCGAAAGGGAUGCUAAUACCGCAUACGUCCUACGGGAGAAAGCAGGGGAUCACUUGUGACCUUGCGCUAAUAGAUGAGCCUAAGUCGGAUUGGCUAGUUGGUGGGGUAAAGGCCUACCAAGGCGACGAUCUGUAGCGGGUCUGAGAGGAUGAGCCGCCACAAUGGGACUGAGAAACGGCCCAGACUCCUACGGGAGGCAGCAGGGGGGAAUAUUGGACAAUGAGGGGAACCCUGGUCCAGCCAUGCCGCGUGUGUGAAGAAGGCCUUAUGGUUGUAAAGUACUUUAAGCGAGGAGGAGGCUCUUUUGGUUAAUACCCAAGAUGAGUGGACGUUACUCGCAGAAUAAGCACCGGCUAACUCUGUGCCAGCCGCCGCCGUAA
rnacentral:rRNA from 1 species